rnacentral:rRNA from 1 species
GAUGAACGCUAGCUACAGGCUUAACACAUGCAAGUCGAGGGACCGGCGCACGGGUGAGUAACACGUAUCCACCCUGCCCUUUACUCGGGGAUAGCCUUUCGAAAGAAAGAUUAAUACCCGAUAUAAAGGAUGGGGAUGCGUUCCAUUAGGUUGUUGGUGAGGUACCGGCCCACCAAGCCUGCGAAGGUUAGGGGUUCUGAGAGGAAGGCCCACUGCAAUGGAAAUGAGACACGGUCCAAACUCCGAGGGGAGGCAGCAGUGAGGAAUAUUGGUCAAUGGGCGUUAGUCUGAACCAGCCAAGUAGCGGGAAGGAGGAAGGCUUAUGGGUCGUAAACUUCUUUUAUAUAAGAAUCUGUAUUAUAUGAAUAAGGAUCGGCUAACUCCGUGCCAGCAGCCGCGGUAAUUC